ACCACGAUGCAAACAGCUUCUACCUUAUGUAAUGACCUGAUCAAUAUCAGUCCUUUUGUUAUUUUGUUUAUUUCUGAAAUAUGUGGGUUAUUGUAUUUUGUUUGAUAAUGUGUUUAAUGCAUAUGCAAGAAGAUCUAUCAUUUAAUUAUUUCUGUGCUGUUCAGAUGUGCCUGGUAAUUUAACAGUUGAGUUGUGUUUUCUUUAAAAUGUUUUAAGGAUGGUUCAUUACAUAAGAGAAGCUCACUAAUCAAUAUGUGAAUGUUAGAGAUUUAGUGAUUAAUAAAGUAUCCUGUUGAACUAUGUGAAAUCCCGCGAGAGACGAGAACGAAAACGGAAAGCGGGAGAAAAAAAAAAAUGAAACUGAGCACGAGAGUGAGCACGAGGGCUAGUCUGCUAUUAACACAGAGUUUGUGGGCUUAACGCUUUAAGUUGGACUAUAAUUUGUUUUAUCAGAAACCUCGCUCUCUGCGUAGGAGUUUGUGACUGAGGAAAAGUGAAAUACCGCCGGAGGUGUGUGUUUUUGGACUGUGACACGAGCUUCGGCCUGUUAGCCUCUCUGGCUAAAUUAGCUCAUGGUUUUGCAGUAACGUUACUGUCAUACGGUCGCACACAUCGUUUGCCUGCUGGACGAGAGAAGACAACAUCGAGAAGAGAUUCGCUGGCUGACGCAGAUGUUUUCUUCAUUGGGGACCGUUUGGCUGUCGAUGCUGGACAGAUGACGCUGAUUAACCCUCGCUGUGCUGCUUGCAAACGGAGUUUGCCUGACGAGAGAGAGAGAGUUACAAUCGCAUUAGGAUCCUGGUUUUUCACUCUACACCAGGAGGUAUUGUUGCUUUCUUCAUUUUAUGAGCUCCAACAUUAAGCGCGCCAACGAACUAACUUAAUGCAGGCCUGCUAAAAGAACUGAAAAAUAAGAGUGCACUCAGGUUAUCACAGACUAUUGACUUCAUUACCCAGGUUUUUUUCCCCUCUAAAUUGGGUUUUAUUUUCAUAUUUGCUCUUUGCUGUUCAAUUGUUAUGUGAGUUUGUAUAAUACAAAAGGAGGAAAUUGAGCUAUGGCGUUCUUGUUGUUUAUUCUUUCACCAGCCAUUGUAUUUGUGUAGCUCAGUGUUUUCUGUGGUAAUAUUCUAUAUUUUAAAACCAAGAAUAUUCUUUCAGGUACCCAUUGAUAAGCAAAGAGAUAGUGAGAAUCAUAGUGUUCUUAGACAGGGUCAUUAUACAAUGGAAUGUCUCUUUCACCAUUUUACCAAGCAUUAGGGUUAAGAGGGUUCAAUACUUUAUACGCUGCUGUAUAACGUACUUGCCUCAUCACGAGCCUAUGGUGGAAAGGGUUACAUUUUUGGGGACUCGUCCGGGAUAUUAGUAGAUUUGUAAUAUUCCUCAGUUCUCACUUAUCUAUUCUAAGCACACAAAAUGGAUGUUGAUGAGAUUGAAGCUUGGUGUAAAAGGAAGCAAAUAGCUCGUGAGAAUGCAGUAGUGUUAAGUGGUUUUGAUGCCAAUGUCACAGAUGAUGUUCUGCUCAACGCCGUCGUGAGCAUUUAUACUUCUGCGUAUGUCUGUUUUGCUCUGCAGUUACACCGCCGAAACGCUAGUUGAC
rnacentral:lncRNA from 1 species